UACGGAGGGUGCAAGCGUUGUCCGGAUUUAUUGGGUUUAAAGGGUGCGUAGGCGGAUGUUUAAGUCAGUGGGGAAGGUUUGCGGCUCAACCGUAAAAUUGCCAUUGAAACUAGAUAUCUUGAGUAUAGUUGAGGUAGGCGGAAUUCAUGGUGUAGCGGUGAAAUGCAUAGAUACCAUGAAGAACACCAAUAGCGAAGGCAGUUUACUAAACUAUAACUGACGCUGAGGCACGAAAGCGUGGGGAGCGAACAGG
rnacentral:misc_RNA from 1 species